rnacentral:rRNA from 1 species
UAGAGUAAUGCGUGACAACCUGCCCCAUGCUCCAGAAUAGCUCUUGGAAACGGGUGGUAAUGCUGGAUGCUCCAACUUGACGCAUGUCUUGUUGGGAAAGUGUUUAGUGGCAUGGGAUGGGGUCGCGUCCUAUCAGCUUGUAGGCGGGGUAAUGGCCCACCUAGGCUUCGACGGGUAGCCGGCCUGAGAGGGCGGACGGCCACAUUGGGACUGAGAUACGGCCCAGACUCCUACGGGAGGCAGCAGAG